GCCAGCCUGUUGCUGAAGGAAGUCCGCACAGAGGAGAUAGGCUAGAGUGCCUUGUAGGAACUGCAGUGCAUCCGCUCUGAUUUUGAAUAACAGGCAGAGGUUUUGAGGUUGGCUGGUAAGAGAUUCGCCAGGCGGUUGGUGAUCUUGAUUUCAACAGGAAGCUUCUGUGAAAGAUAAGAGCUUCUUUUAACCCCUGACCACUAAGCUGGUAGUGUUCUCUGGGGUCCUCAGGUAACCCUGGCCUUUGCAAACCAGCUUUCCGUUUUGCUUCAGGACACCCCUUAGCCAAGCCCGCACUAUGGAGAAGUGGGACGGUAAUGAGGGCACCUCUGCUUUCCACAUGCCUGAGUGGAUGAUUCAGUUUGCUGACCAGAAGCAGGAAUUCAACAAACGUCCCACCAAAAUUGGACGUCGCUCUUUGUCUCGUUCCAUCUCUCAGUCAUCUACUGACAGCUACAGCUCAGCUGCCUCAUACACAGAUAGCUCUGACGAUGAAACAUCCCCCAGGGACAAGCAGCAAAAGAACUCUAAGGGGA
rnacentral:lncRNA from 1 species